UAUCUCUGUAGAGUCUGCAUAUCAAUAAGCGGAGGAAAAGAAACUAACAAGGAUUCCCUUAGUAACGGCGAGUGAAGCGGGAAGAGCUCAAAUUUGAAAUCUUCAAGGUUCUACCUUGACGAAUUGUAGUUUAAAGAAGUGUUUUCUGUUAGAUGAGUAGCAAAAGUUCCUUGGAAUGGGACAUCAUAGAGGGUGAGAAUCCCGUAUUUGGUUAUUCAUUCUAGCUUUGUGAUACACUUUCAAAGAGUCGGAUUGUUUGGGAAUGCAGUCCAAAAUGGGUGGUAAAUUUCAUCUAAAGCUAAAUAUUGGCGAGAGACCGAUAGCGAACAAGUACCGUGAGGGAAAGAUGAAAAGAACUUUGAAAAGAGAGUUAAACAGUACGUGAAAUUGUCAAAAGGGAAGCGUUUGACACCAGUGUUGUUUUUCCGAAAAUCAAUUACGAAUGGCUUGAUUUUGUGUUGUAUUGACCUUAUCAGCUUUCUGCACUUUUUUCGAGUCUUUCUUAAUGCACUUUUCGGUUAACAAGUCUACAUCAAUUUCUUUUGUUGUAAAAGAGUAUUCGGAAGGUGGCUUUCUUUUCGGAGAAAGUGUUUAUAGCCCUAUACUUCUACAAUCGGAGAGAUUGAGGUCUGCAGCGUAGAUCCUUCGGGGUUAGAUACAUUUGUGCUAAGUUGUAGCUUUUCAUAGACAACUUGUUGACUAUGUUUAGUCAUGCGGCUUACUCGCUUAUGUUAUUUUACCUACGCUUAGGAUGUUGACUGAUAUGUAGUCGUA
rnacentral:rRNA from 1 species